GCCCCGUUCGUCUAGCGGCCUAGGACACCGCCCUCUCACGGCGGCAACACCGGUUCAAAUCCGGUACGGGGUAC
rnacentral:tRNA from 1 species